rnacentral:lncRNA from 1 species
UAUCAAUCCGGAGCAGGAAUAUAUGAAAUUCCCUAAAGAAACAACACUGAGAAUAGAGAAGAAAUCUACAUAGGUGCAACUGCUAGGUCUUUAAAAGACAGGAUAAGGGAAUACAAGCGGGACAUUGGGAAUGCCGGGUUGACCACAGCACUGGCCGGGUGCGCAUGCCGGCAGGGCCUGGACAUCGGAUGGGGCGAUUCCGGAAUGAUAAAGCGCUUGGAGAGCCCAGAGAAUUUGCCGGUCGCAGAGACGGUGCGGAUACGCAGGGGCGGACGGGGUGUCUUUGUGGUUGGUGAUGGACAGACGGGCUCGUUGCGGGAGCCAUGGGAGUGCCUCUUGGGCGGCCCCAGCACCCAUGACUGGGCCCCUAUGGCGCAGGGACAGUGUGACACAUUUAUUGUGGGCUCCCUUUAAGCAUUAUGGGAC